rnacentral:rRNA from 1 species
AUUGAACGACUGGCGGCGACUUGCUUUUACACAUGCAAGUCGAACGGUAACAGGCCUUCGGGUGCUGACGAGUGGCGAACGGGUGAGGUAAUGCAUCGGAACGUGCCCAGAGUGGGGGAGUAACGCAGCGAAAGCUGUGCUAAUACCGCAUGUGAUCUGAGGAUGAAAGCGGGGGACCGAAGCAGCAAUGUUUUGGCCUCGCGCCUCUGGAGCGGCCGAUGUCAGAUUAGGUAGUUGGUGGGUAAAGGCUACCAAGCCGACGAUCUGUAGCUGGUCUGAGAGGACGACCAGCCACACUGGGACUGAGACACGGCCCAGACUCCUACGGGAGGCAGCAGUGGGGAAUUUUUGGACAAUGGGCGCAAGCCUGAUCCAGCAAUGCCGCGUGCGGGAAGAAGGCCUUCGGGUUGUAAACCGCUUUUGUACGGAACGAAAAGGCUCUGGCUAAUACCUGGGGCUGAUGACGGUACCGUAAGAAUAAGCACCGGCUAACUACGUG